CCCGCUGAACUUAAGCAUAUCAAUAAGCGGAGGAAAAGGAACUAACAAGGAUUCCCCUAGUAACUGCGAGUGAAGCGGGAAAAGCUCAAAUUUAAAAUCUGGCGGUCCUCUGGCCGUCCGAGUUGUAAUCUGGAGAAGCGUUUUCCGCGUCGGACCGUGUACAAGUCUUCUGGAACGGAGCGUCAUAGAGGGUGAGAAUCCCGUCUCUGACACGGACCGCCGAUGCUUCAUGUGGUACGCUCUCGAAGAGUCGAGUUGUUUGGGAAUGCAGCACUAAAUGGGUGGUAAAUUCCAUCUAAAGCUAAAUAUUGGCGAGAGACCGAUAGCGAACAAGUACCGUGAGGGAAAGAUGAAAAGAACUUUGAAAAGAGAGUUAAACAGUACGUGAAAUUGUUGAAAGGGAAACGCUUGAAGUCAGUCGCAUCUGCUAGGGAUCAAGUUGCCUCUGGGUGACCGUACUUUCUAGUGGAUGGGUCAGCAUCAAUUUUGACCGUUGGAUAAAGGCCUGGGGAAUGUGGCAUCUUCGGAUGUGUUAUAGACCUUGGUUGGAUACAAUGGUUGGGAUUGAGGAACUCAGUGUGCCAUUAGGUUGGGGCUUCGGCUCACACUACACACUUAGGAUGCUGGCAUAAUGGCUUUAAUCGACCCGUCUUGAAACACGG
rnacentral:rRNA from 1 species